UACGUAGGGUGCGAGCGUUGUCCGGAAUUAUUGGGCGUAAAGAGCUCGUAGGCGGUUUGUUGCGUCGGCCGUGAAAACCUGCAGCUUAACUGUGGGCCUGCGGCCGAUACGGGCAGACUUGAGUUCGGUAGGGGAGACUGGAAUUCCUGGUGUAGCGGUGAAAUGCGCAGAUAUCAGGAGGAACACCGGUGGCGAAGGCGGGUCUCUGGGCCGAUGCUGACGCUGAGGAGCGAAAGCGUGGGGAGCGAACAGG
rnacentral:rRNA from 1 species